rnacentral:rRNA from 1 species
CAGUCGAACGGAGAUAUACGCUGAUGAAGUACUUCGGUAAUGAUUCUUGAACAUCUUAGUGGCGGACGGGUGAGUAACGCGUGAGCAACCUGCCUUUCAGAGGGGGAUAACGUUCGGAAACGAACGCUAAUACCGCAUGACAUUGUUGAGUCGCAUGACUUGAUAAUCAAAGGAGCAAUCCGCUGAAAGAUGGGCUCGCGUCCGAUUAGGUAGUUGGUGGGGCAACGGCCCACCAAGCCGACGAUCGGUAGCCGGACUGAGAGGUUGAACGGCCACAUUGGGACUGAGACACGGCCCAGACUCCUACGGGAGGCAGCAGUGAGGGAUAUUGGUCAAUGGGGGAAACCCUGAACCAGCAACGCCGCGUGAGGGAAGACGGUUUUCGGAUUGUAAACCUCUGUCCUCUGUGAAGAUAAUGACGGUAGCAGAGGAGGAAGCUCCGGCUAACUACGUGCCAGCAGCCGCGGUAAUACGUAGGGAGCAAGCGUUGUCCGGAUUUACUGGGUGUAAAGGGUGCGUAGGCGGCUUUGCAAGUCAGAAGUGAAAUCCAUGGGCUUAACCCAUGAACUGCUUUUGAAACUGCAGAGCUUGAGUGGAGUAGAGGUAGGCGGAAUUCCCGGUGUAGCGGUGAAAUGCGUAGAGAUCGGGAGGAACACCAGUGGCGAAGGCGGCCUACUGGGCUCUAACUGACGCUGAGGCACGAAAGCGUGGGUAGCAAACAGGAUUAGAUACCCUGGUAGUCCACGCUGUAAACGAUGAUUACUAGGUGUGGGUGGACUGACCCCAUCCGUGCCGGAGUUAACACAAUAAGUAAU